GAUGAACGCUGGCGGCGUGCCUAAUACAUGCAAGUCGAGCGAACGGACGAGAAGCUUGCUUCUCUGAUGUUAGCGGCGGACGGGUGAGUAACACGUGGAUAACAUACCUAUAAGACUGGGAUAACUUCGGGAAACAGGAGCUACUACUGGAUAAUAUUUUGAACCGCAUGGUUCAAAAGUGAAAGACGGUUUUGCUGUCACUUAUAGAUGGACCCGCGCUGCAUUAGCUAGUUGGUAAGGUAACGGCUUACCAAGGCAACGAUGCAUAGCCGACCUGAGAGGGUGGUCGGCCACACUGGAGCUGAGACACGGUCCAGACUCCUACGGGAGGCAGCAGUAGGGAAUCUUCCGCAAUGGGCGAAAGCCUGACGGAGCAGCGCCGCGUGGGUGAUGAAGGUCUUCGGAUCGUAGAACUCUGUUAUUGGGGAAGAACAUAUGUGGAAGUGACUGUGCACAUCUUGACGGUACCUAAUCAGAAAGCCACGGCUAACUACGUG
rnacentral:rRNA from 1 species